ensembl:lncRNA
CCUAACUGGCGCCUGACUAGCGCUUAACUUGCACUUCAGCAGUUACAUUCCUGCACUUCUUUUUCCUUUUUUCUAGGUCGUUGUUUUCUAAUUCUCAUGUAAAGUAGUAUUUAUUGUUACACCAUGCUUUUUAUUGCUCUUAGCUUGACUGUUCUCUCCCUUGUACGUCGCUUUGGACAAAAGCGUCUGCUAAAUGACUAAAUGUAAAUGUAAAUGUAAAUGUGGUGAUAGAGUGUGAGGUUAUGCUGGUAGUAUGGUGAUAGAGUGUGAGGUUAUGUUGGUAGUGUGCUGGUAGAGUGUGAGGUUAUGCUGGUAGUGUGGUGGUAGUGUGGUGAUAGAGUGUGGGGUUAUGCUGGUAGUGUGGUGAUAGAGUGUGAGGUUAUGUUGGUAGUGUGGUGAUAGAGUGUGAGGUUAUGCUGGUAGUGUGGUGAUAGAGUGUGAGGUUAUGCUGGUAGUGUGGUGAUAGAGUGUGAGGUUAUGCUGGUAGUGUGGUGAUAGAGUGUGAGGUUAUGCUGGUAGUGUGCUGGUAGUGUGGUGAUAGAGUGUGAGGUUAUGCUGGUAGUGUGCUGGUAGAGUGUGAGGUUAUGCUGGUAGUGUGCUGGUAGAGUGUGAGGUUAUGCUGGUAGUGUGCUGGUAGUGUGGUGAUAGAGUGUGAGGUUAUGUUGGUAGUGUGGUUGUAGAGUGUGAGGUUAUGCUGGUAGUGUGGUGUUAGAGUGUGAGGUUAUGCUGGUAGUGUGCUGGUAGUGUGGUGAUAGAGUGUGAGGUUAUGCUGGUAGUGUGCUGGUAGUGUGGUGGUAGAGUGUGAGGUUAUGCUGGUAGUGUGGUGAUAGAGUGUGAGGUUAUGCUGGUAGUGUGCUGGUAGUGUGGUGUUAGAGUGUGAGGUUAUGCUGGUAGUGUGGUGUUAGAGUGUGAGGUUAUGCUGGUAGUGUGCUGGUAGUGUGGUGUUAGAGUGUGAGGUUAUGCUGGUAGUGUGCUGGUAGUGUGGAUAGAGUGGGAGGUUAUGC